AUCAACGCUGGCGGCGUGCCUAACACAUGCAAGUCGCACGAGAAAGUGGAGCAAUCCAUGAGUACAGUGGCGCACGGGUGAGUAACACGUGAAUCAUCUACCUCCGAGUGGGGAAUAACCUAGAGAAAUCUGGGCUAAUACCGCAUAACACUUACGAGUCAAAGCAGCAAUGCGCUUGGAGAGGAGUUCGCGGCCGAUUAGCUAGUUGGCGGGGUAAUGGCCCACCAAGGCGAUGAUCGGUAUCCGGCCUGAGAGGGCGCACGGACACACUGGAACUGAAACACGGUCCAGACUCCUACGGGAGGCAGCAGUGGGGAAUUUUGCGCAAUGGGGGAAACCCUGACGCAGCAACGCCGCGUGGAGGAUGAAAUCCCUUGGGAUGUAAACUCCUUUCGAUGGGGAAGAUAAUGACGGUACCCAUAGAAG
rnacentral:rRNA from 1 species